rnacentral:lncRNA from 1 species
CCAAUUCACCAAAACUAAGAAGGGAAACUCUAGCAAAUUGAAGAGAAAAGAGGGAGAGUUAGCUGAAUCAAGAGGGAGAGGAUGAAGAUCAAGAUCAAGGGGGUGAUUAAAGCUAAGAAAAAGAAGAAGAAGAACGCUUAAUGCAAGUCUUUCAGUUCAUAUAUGUUACUUGAACUUGAUAUUAAUUAUAUGCAUUUAUUAUAGCAAUAUGAAAUGUUGAAUAUAUGUUACUCGCUAUGAACUGGGAAAGUCAAAUUAUGACUAUAUUUGGCUGAGUUAUGGAACUUAAUAUGUGGUAUGUGAUAUGUUGGGCAUGUGGAACUUAUAUUUAUCAUAAAUUGAGAUAUAUGUUGAGUAUGAAAGUAUGUGCUAUAUAAUGCAUGAAAAUUAUUAGAUUUGCUGAGUUGUCGAGCUCAAUCUUGUAAAAAUAAACUUUUGCAGGUUAAGGAUUCAAAGAAAGAUUAUCUACUAUCUGAACAAUAAGAAAAAAAAGGCGAACAAAGGAAUAAUGUUUUCUUUAUUUGAAAUAAAACAUAUAUGGUAUUAGGAUGAUGAUGUACAAAAUACAAUGUAAAUUGUGAAAUGUUCA